UAGCUCCUAUCUUGGGUGAAGUGAACGAGCCAGACACACACCCAGGAAACAUGGAGGCCGUAGCCGAAGGGGUGCGGUCCGCCUCGCGGUCACCAUUGAACAUAUAGUGAACGACACCCUGAUGGUGACGCUCACUUCCUGAGAUAGGAGCUACACAGGGAUUUUGCUCGAUUGCAACAAACAGUGAAAGGGUAUCAUUAUUAUAAUUUUGCUCUAAAGCACUAAGGCCAUAAGCUAAGCUGACUGCCGCAGAGAGACGGCUGCAAUAGCAAAGAGCACACGCCGCUUCUCCUUCAUCUCGUAGGAUAUGAUGUAUAUAUACACUCAUGGGUGUUUGUGUAGGGGAUGAGCGCCUUCUAGUGUUCACACUGUGUUUCUGCCUCACUGAUUUACUGCAGAACAUUGAGAGAGAGAAACAGAGAGACAGAGAGAGACAUAAAGAGAGAGAGAAUCGUGAUAACGAUCUGCAGAUGAUGUGAUCCAAAACCCGUGAACAUAUCAACAUUUCACAGCCCAACAUCCAACCUGCAGAAACGUACAGGUAAGCGAUUAGAUAAGAUAAGAUGUACCUUUAUUGACCCCCGUGGGGGAAAUUCACAAAGUGACACAGCAGCACAAGUAGGUUGAGUAUCAUCCAAAAAGAAAAAAGAAAGAAAGAAAGAAACCUGUAUAAUAGAAAUAAUAGAAACAGAUCUGUGUGUAUGUACAUAUGCUAGAUUUCUAUUUGUAUAUGUACAUGCGCACAGUCUGUGAAAUGAUAAUUAACUGUUGAGAGUGUUUCUGUGAGACUCAGUCAUUGGAGUAGGAGGUACUGGGUAUUGUUUCAUUGUGGAGGCUGAUGGCUGAUGGUACGAAAGAGCCCCCCAGAUGUUUUGAGGCACGUGGCUGGAUGAAUCUGCAGGACCUGAGCCUCCUCAGAAAAAACAUCCUGCUCUGUCCUUUCUUAUACAGGGCCUCAGUGUUGUCUGACCAGUCCAGUGUGUUAUUGAGUUUCACCCCUAGGAACUUGUAGGUGUCCACUAUCUCCACUCCCUCCCCCUUAUUUCGACAGGGUGGGGGGCCGCUUGCUGUCUCCUCUACCAGCUCCUUGGUUUUCCCGAUGUUGAGCUGGAGAUGGUUGUUGUCGCACCAUCUUAUAAAGCUUUCGAUAAGGUCUCUCUACUCCUCCUUAUUAUCUGUGAUACAACCAACGAUGGAGGAGUUAUCCGAAAACUUCUGUAGGUGGCACGUUCCCGAAUUGAAGCAGAAGUCAGAGGUGUAGAGGGUGAAGAAGAAUGGAGACAGUACAGUUCCCUGGGGUGCUCCAGUGUUGCUAGUCACCACGUCUAACAAACAGCCUUGGGACCUAGCUGAGAGAGCUAGACUAAACAGUCAGAUCUGUUGAUGUUUAUCAGUAUGAAUGCUCUGUAUUAAACUUAAUAUAUCACUUCGAUGUUCAGUAGCCAUCACCUGCUGUGUUAAAUAUGUCUGAGUACAGCCUGUAGGUAACACUCAGGAUAAUGUGUAAGGGAUUAGAGAUUUCUAUUGUCUGUUAUAAAUACACAGAUAGUUAACUAUAUAGCUAAAAAAAAACCCCAUGUGAAUUAACACAAGCUAGCUGGAUUUGAUCUGUUUGUGUGAAAUCCAGUUUGGUGUAAAUGCCUUGUACUCUGUCAUACUGUUUAAUACUUUCACCAGCAGGAGGCGACACAGCUCAUCUCUCUCUCUCUCUCUCUCUCUCUCUCUCUCUCUCUCUCUCUCACACACACACACACACACACACACACACACUCUCUCUCUCUCUCUCUCUCUCUCUCUCUCUCUCGCUCUCUUCUCAGUUAGACCCAGUGAAACUGAAAUAAAUCUUGAAACACUUAUGCUUUA